rnacentral:rRNA from 1 species
UACAGGGGGUGCGAGCGGUAAUCGGAAUUACUGGGCGUAAAGCGCACGUAGGUGGCGACGUAAGUCGGGGGUGAAAGCCCCGGGCUCAACCUGGGAAUUGCAUUCGAGACUGCAUUGCUGGAGUACGGAAGAGGAGGGCGGAAUUCCCGGUGUAGCGGUGAAAUGCGUAGAUAUCGGGAGGAACAUCAGUGGCGAAGGCGGCCCUCUGGUCCAGUACUGACACUCAAGUGCGAAAGCGUGGGGAGCAAACAGG